AGCAUUAAGCAUCUCGCUCUUCAUAUUUACACACAAAGUUCUCUUCCUCAUCUCUCUCUGGAUCUAAAUUAGUAUCUACACCAACGGAACUUUGAUCUCGAUUCGACGUUAAUCUCGUCGCAAAUCUAAUCUUCGAAAAUGCCGCUCAGACUUGAAAUCAAGAGAAAACUUGCUCAAAGAUCAGAGAGAGUUAAGUCUGUGGAUUUACAUCCAACUGAACCAUGGAUUCUAGCGAGUUUGUAUUCUGGAACUGUGUGUAUUUGGAACUACCAGUCUCAGACUAUGGCUAAGUCAUUUGAGGUCACUGAGUUGCCAGUUAGGUCAGCAAAGUUUGUAGCACG